rnacentral:rRNA from 1 species
GACGAACGCUGGCGGCGUGCCUAAUACAUGCAAGUAGAACGCUGAAGAGAGGAGCUUGCUCUUCUUGGAUGAGUUGCGAACGGGUGAGUAACGCGUAGGUAACCUGCCUUGUAGCGGGGGAUAACUAUUGGAAACGAUAGCUAAUACCGCAUAACAAUGGAUGACACAUGUCAUUUAUUUGAAAGGGGCAAUUGCUCCACUACAAGAUGGACCUGCGUUGUAUUAGCUAGUAGGUGAGGUAAUGGCUCACCUAGGCGACGAUACAUAGCCGACCUGAGAGGGUGAUCGGCCAAACUGGGACUGAGACACGGCCCAGACUCCCACGGGGGGCAGCAGGAGGGAAUCUUCGGAAAUGGGGGCAACCCUGACCGAGCAACGCCGCGUGAGGGAAGAAGGUUUUCGGAUCGUAAAGCUCUGUUGUAAGUCAAGAACGGGUGUGAGAGUGGAAAGUUCACACUGUGACGGUAGCUUACCAGAAAGGGACGGCUAACUACGUG